AUUGCCCCUCUUCCCUUCAAGGGUAGCCCCACCCGGGGACCCAUGAAAGGACCCAAAUAUAAGGAAAGCACUGAGAAUAAUUCUGCCUAUCUCUUGUCCCUCUGGGAAAGUGCCUAGAGAGUAGGUGUGGUAUGUAUGUGGUGCAUGGUCUGUGUGUGUGUGUGUGUCAUAUAUCUGUGUGGUAUGUAUUGUGUAUGUGGUUUGUGUUUGGUGUAUAUGUGUCUGUAUAUUGUGUAUAUGGUGUGUGAUGUGAGUGGUGUAUGUGGUUUGUGGUGUGUAUGUGUCUGUAUAGUGUGUGUGGUAUGUGGUGUGUGUACACACAGGUAUGUAAGCAAACGUAUGUUGGUAGGGAGGAUGCUGCUAGCUUGUUCUUCCUGGCCUUUGUGUGUGAGCCAGUGGAUGGCAGCUCACUCUGCUUUUAAAUCACUGCAGCAUUUACCUGUUAAUAUGACAUAAAAG
rnacentral:lncRNA from 1 species